rnacentral:rRNA from 1 species
GUGAGGAAUAUUGGUCAAUGGACGAGAGUCUGAACCAGCCAAGUCGCGUGAAGGAAGACGGUUCUAUGAAUUGUAAACUUCUUUUGUGCAGGAAUAAAGUGGGUUACGUGUAACCUUUUGUAUGUACUGUACGAAUAAGGAUCGGCUAACUCCGUGCCAGCAGCCGCGGUAAUACGGAGGAUCCGAGCGUUAUCCGGAUUUAUUGGGUUUAAAGGGUGCGUAGGUGGAUUGAUAAGUCAGCGGUGAAAGUUUGCAGCUUAACUGUAAAAUUGCCGUUGAAACUGUCGGUCUUGAGUGCAAAUGAGGUAGGCGGAAUGUGUUGUGUAGCGGUGAAAUGCUUAGAUAUAACACAGAACUCCGAUUGCGAAGGCAGCUUACUGGGAUGCAACUGACACUGAUGCACGAAAGCGUGGGGAUCAAACAGGAUUAGAAACCCGGGUAGUCC